rnacentral:lncRNA from 1 species
GCAACACAAGGCUGACCUUCAGCUGCUCUUGGCUCUCAUCGCCCAUGUCAGGACCACCCCCCUUGGAAAGGCCGUUUGCAGCACAGGACCGGUCAGGCUGCCUGGCUCUGUCCCUCCUGCGUGCUGCUGCCUCAUCGCCUGGUUGUUGCCAUUUUGCGGUGAGUGAGGAAGCUGGGAGUGGCAGCACACACCUGUAAACCCAGCACUGGGAAGACUGAGGCAAGAGGAUUGCCACAAGUUUGAGGUCACCCUGGGCUACGUAGUGAGUUCAGGUUUAGCCUGAACUAUGUAGGAAGACCUUGUCUCAACAAAAGUCAACACAUUUUAAUAAAGG